rnacentral:rRNA from 1 species
GCCUACGGGGGGCAGCAGUGGGGAAUAUUGCGCAAUGGGCGAAAGCCUGACGCAGCGACGCCGCGUGAGGGAUGAAGGUCUUCGGAUCGUAAACCUCUGUCAGCAGGGAAGAACGGUCACUGUGCUAAUCAGCAGUGAAUUGACGGUACCUGCAAAGGAAGCACCUGCUAACUCCGUGCCAGCAGCCGCGGUAAUACAGAGGGUGCGAGCGUUAAUCGGAAUUACUGGGCGUAAAGCGCUCGUAGGCGGUAUGUCAAGUCAAGGGUGAAAUCCCCGCGCUCAACGUGGGAACUGCCUUUGAAACU